rnacentral:lncRNA from 1 species
ACGAGCAUCUAUCUGUCCAUCGCGGGCGCCAGCUCCCCCCGGGGCUGGGGCUGAGGGCAGCACCCUGGUCGCUCCAGCGGAUGAGGAGCAGGCAGCACCGAGGCACUCGCAUGACAGCCUCUUGAAUGAUGUGAACAGUGAUGGCUUUCUCUGAGAGUAAGACAAGAAAGCUUUGUAAAUGGCGUUGAAUUUCCUGCUCUUGGCAGGCCCUGCUCAGCACAGAAGAAAAGACUGAUCAAGUUGUCCAAGAUGGAGCCCUUUAUCCACGUUAGUCCACUUAUCUCUUUAAGAUUAAAG